rnacentral:rRNA from 1 species
ACGCUGGCGGCAGGCUUAACACAUGCAAGUCGAACGGUAACAGGGAUUAGCUUGCUAAUUUGCUGACGAGUGGCGGACGGGUGAGUAAUGCUUGGGAAUCUGGCUUAUGGAGGGGGAUAACUACGGGAAACUGUAGCUAAUACCGCGUAAUAUCGGAAGAUUAAAGGGUGGGACUUUCGAGCCACCUGCCAUAAGAUGAGCCCAAGUGGGAUUAGGUAGUUGGUUAGGUAAAGGCUGACCAAGCCGACGAUCUCUAGUUGGUCUGAGAGGAUGACCAGCCACACUGGAACUGAGACACGGUCCAGACUCCUACGGGAGGCAGCAGUGGGGAAUAUUGCACAAUGGGGGGAACCCUGAUGCAGCCAUGCCGCGUGAAUGAAGAAGGCCUUCGGGUUGUAAAGUUCUUUCGGUGACGAGGAAGGUUGAUAGGUUAAUAGCCUAUCAAAUUGACGUUAAUCACAGAAGAAGCACCGGCUAACUCCGUGCCAGCAGCCGCGGUAAUACGGGGGGUGCGAGCGUUAAUCGGAAUAACUGGGCGUAAAGGGCACGCAGGCGGUGACUUAAGUGAGAUGUGAAAGCCCCGAGCUUAACUUGGGAAUUGCAUUUCAUACUGGGUCGCUAGAGUACUUUAGGGAGGGGUAGAAUUCCACGUGUAGCGGUGAAAUGCGUAGAGAUGUGGAGGAAUACCGAAGGCGAAGGCAGCCCCUUGGGAAUGUACUGACGCUCAUGUGCGAAAGCGUGGGGAGCAAACAGGAUUAGAUACCCUGGUAGUCCACGCUGUAAACGAUGUCGAUUUGGGGAUUGGGCUUUGAGCUUGGUGCCCGUAGCUAACGUGAUAAAUCGACCGCCUGGGGAGUACGGCCGCAAGGUUAAAACUCAAAUGAAUUGACGGGGGCCCGCACAAGCGGUGGAGC